rnacentral:rRNA from 1 species
AUUGAACGCUGGCGGCAGGCCUAACACAUGCAAGUCGAGCGGAUGAAGGGAGCUUGCUCCUGGAUUCAGCGGCGGACGGGUGAGUAAUGCCUAGGAAUCUGCCCGGUAGUGGGGGAUAACGUGCGGAAACGGGCGCUAAUACCGCAUACGACCUGAGGGAGAAAGUGGGGGAUCGUCGGACCUCACGCUAUCAGAUGAGCCUAGGUCGGAUUAGCUAGUUGGUGGGGUAAAGGCCUACCAAGGCGACGAUCCGUAACUGGUCUGAGAGGAUGACCAGUCACACUGGAACUGAGACACGGUCCAGACUCCUACGGGAGGCAGCAGUGGGGAAUAUUGGACAAUGGGCGAAAGCCUGAUCCAGCCAUGCCGCGUGUGUGAAGAAGGUCUUCGGAUUGUAAAGCACUUUAAGUUGGGAGGAAGGGCAGUAAGUUAAUACCUUGCUGUUUUGACGUUACCAACAGAAUAAGCACCGGCUAACUUCGUG